UUGGUUCAGUGUUAUGUUCUCCUCUGGUCUGCACACACUUUUAUAUCACUGGUUUAAAGAAAAAUGGAGAGUGAAAAUAAUUUCGUCGCAAUAAACAUUAACAAUGCGAAAAUUCUGUCGUUACCUGUAUAAAAUUUCAACUUAAGGCCACGUGAGUUCCUUCUAAACCGGCAGGAAUUGUGCCAAGGUAUUCUGCAGUUUCAUGUGUUAAAGGAGUAUUGGCACCUUAUAGCGUGGGACUUACCACACUGUGGUUUUAUCUGAAUAUUAUGUGCCUAUCAUCAUCACCACAGUCCAGACCAUCAAAGAGUGACUGCUGCCUGUGACCACAUCGGCUCAGCUUGUACCGCCAAACCGGCGGUCUUUGUCUGUGACCUCAGCAGCCAAGCCCACGCCGUCAAACUCAUGGGCACCAUUUUCAGUGCCAUCACCAACACUAAAUGUGCAGUCCCAUUACUCGGACCUGGAGCAUCAUAUUGCAAUCAAUCAUCAUGAUGAAGUUCAGGGUCUAGCAGCAUAAGCAGCAGUCGAACGGCCCACCAUGUUAACGAACACCAGGUAAAUUGUGCAGCUGCACUGAAGUACUCCAUACUUGCUGCUGCUUUUGGGGAUAGAAUCUGUACCUCUGCAAUACUGUAUAUACAGAUUAUCUUUUCACCGCUGUACAUAUGAAAGCCACAUGGAAAAAAUCCAUUGUAGUAUUAGUGUGAAAAAAUGUAUCUCUACAAUACUAUAUACAUAAAUAACCUUUUCACUUGUGAUCUAUAAA